rnacentral:ncRNA from 1 species
GGGGGAGUAUGGUCGCAAGGCUGAAACUUAAAGGAAUUGACGGAAGGGCACCACCAGGAGUGGAGCCUGCGGCUUAAUUUGACUCAACACGGGGAAAUAGAACUAGGUGUGCGGGGUAUAAUAGAACUAGGUGUGCGGGGUAUAAUAGAACUAGGUGUGCGGGGUAUAAUAGAACUAGGUGUGCGGGGUAUAAUAGAACUAGGUGUGCGGGGUAUAAUAGAACUAGGUGUGCGGGGUAUAAUAGAACUAGGUGUGCGGGGUAUAAUAGAACUAGGUGUGCGGGGUAUAA